GACGAACGCUGGCGGCGUGCCUAAUACAUGCAAGUCGAGCGAACAGACGAGGAGCUUGCUCCUUUGACGUUAGCGGCGGACGGGUGAGUAACACGUGGGUAACCUACCUAUAAGACUGGGAUAACUUCGGGAAACCGGAGCUAAUACCGGAUAAUAUUUCGAACCGCAUGGUUCGAUAGUGAAAGAUGGCUCUGCUAUCACUUAUAGAUGGACCUGCGCCGUAUUAGCUAGUUGGUAAGGUAACGGCUUACCAAGGCAACGAUACGUAGCCGACCUGAGAGGGUGAUCGGCCACACUGGAACUGAGACACGGUCCAGACUCCUACGGGAGGCAGCAGUAGGGAAUCUUCCGCAAUGGGCGAAAGCCUGACGGAGCAACGCCGCGUGAGUGAUGAAGGUCUUCGGAUCGUAAAACUCUGUUAUUAGGGAAGAACAAACGUGUAAGUAACUGUGCACGUCUUGACGGUACCUAAUCAGAAAGCCACGGCUAACUACGUG
rnacentral:rRNA from 1 species